rnacentral:rRNA from 1 species
UAGUCCACACUGUAAACGAUGUCUACUAGCCGUUGGUUUCCUUGAGGAAGCAGUGGCGCAGCUAACGCGAUAAGUAGACCGCCUGGGGAGUACGGCCGCAAGGUUAAAACUCAAAUGAAUUGACGGGGGCCCGCACAAGCGGUGGAGCAUGUGGUUUAAUUCGAUGCAACGCGAAGAACCUUACCAGGUCUUGACAUCCUGAAAACUUUCUAGAGAUAGAUUGGUGCCUUCGGGAAUUCAGUGACAGGUGCUGCAUGGCUGUCGUCAGCUCGUGUCGUGAGAUGUUGGGUUACGUCCCGCAACGAGCGCAACCCCUACUGUUAGUUGCCAUCAGGUUAAGCUGGGGACUCUAACAAGACUGCCUACGCAAGUAGAGAGGAAGGUGGGGACGACGUCAAGUCAUCAUGGCCCUUACGCCCAGGGCUACACACGUGCUACAAUGGUACAUACAGAGGGUCGCUACACAGCAAUGUGAUGCCAAUCUCAAAAAGUGU